GACGAACGCUGGCGGCGUGCUUAACACAUGCAAGUCGAACGGAAAGGCCCUGCUUUUGUGGGGUGCUCGAUUGGCGAACGGGUGAGUAACACGUGAGUAACCUGCCCUUGACUUUGGGAUAACUUCAGGAAACUGGGGCUAAUACCGGAUAGGAGCUCCUGCUGCAUGGUGGGGGUUGGAAAGUUUCGGCGGUUGGGGAUGGACUCGCGGCUUAUCAGCUUGUUGGUGGGGUAGUGGCUUACCAAGGCUUUGACGGGUAGCCGGCCUGAGAGGGUGACCGGCCAAAUUGGGACUGAGAUACGGCCCAGACUCCUACGGGAGGCAGCAGUGGGGAAUAUUGCACAAUGGGCGGAAGCCUGAUGCAGCAACGCCGCGUGCGGGAUGACGGCCUUCGGGUUGUAAACCGCUUUCGCCUGUGACGAAGCGUGAGUGACGGUAAUGGGUAAAGAAGCACCGGCUAACUACGUG
rnacentral:rRNA from 1 species